AAGGAUCUGAGUAAGCAGGAGCG
rnacentral:piRNA from 1 species